GAUGAAGAACGUAGCGAAAUGCGAUACGUAAUGUGAAUUGCAGAAUUCAGUGAAUCAUCGAGUCUUUGAACGCACAUUGCGCCCCCUGGUAUUCCGGCGGGCAUGCCUGUUCGAGCGUCAUUUCAACCCUCAAGCCCCCGGGUUUGGUGUUGGGGAUCGGCUCUGCCCUUCUGGGCGGUGCCGCCCCCGAAAUACAUUGGCGGUCUCGCUGCAGCCUCCAUUGCGUAGUAGCUAACACCUCGCAACUGGAACGCGGCGCGGCCAUGCCGUAAAACCCCAACUUCUGAAUGUUGACCUCGGAUCAGGUAGGAAUACCCGCUGAACUUAAGCAUAUCAAUAAGCGGAGGA
rnacentral:misc_RNA from 1 species